rnacentral:rRNA from 1 species
GAUGAACGCUGGCGGCGUGCCUAAUACAUGCAAGUCGAGCGAACAGACGAGGCGCUUGCUCCUCUGACGUUAGCGGCGGACGGGUGAGUAACACGUGGAUAACCGACCUAUAAGACUGGGAUAACUUCGGGAAACCGGAGCUAAUACCGGAUAAUAUAUUGAACCGCAUGGUUCAAUAGUGAAAGACGGUUUUGCUGUCACUUAUAGAUGGAUCCGCGCCGCAUUAGCUAGUUGGUAAGGUAACGGCUUACCAAGGCGACGAUGCGUAGCCGAACUGAGAGGGUGAUCGGCCACACUGGAACUGAGACACGGUCCAGACUCCUACGGGAGGCAGCAGUAGGGAAUCUUCGGCAAUGGGCGAAAGCCUGACGGAGCAACGCCGCGUGAGUGAUGAAGGUCUUCGGAUCGUAAAACUCUGUUAGUAGGGAAGAACGACUGUGUAAGUAACUAUGCACGUCUUGACGGUACCUAAUCAGAAAGCCACGGCUAACUACGUG